rnacentral:misc_RNA from 1 species
AAGUCGUAACAAGGUUUCCGUAGGUGAACCUGCGGAAGGAUCAUUAAAGAUUCGACCUUCGGGUCUAUCUUCUCUUCAGCUGUGCGCUUUGGCUGCACGCUGUUGAACUUCACACACCUGUGCACACUUCGGUUGUGGCUGGUUAACUCUGGUCGCUUCCGCUUUUACAUUUAACUACCAAGUCUAGAAUGUCAAAUACAAUAAAAAUAACAACUUUUAACAACGGAUCUCUUGGCUCUC